rnacentral:lncRNA from 1 species
ACCUUCUUUCCCCUAGAGCCCCUUCCUGUUGCCCGAACCACUUCUGAGUCUGGGUGCCUUAACCAGCGUUGGUCCUUUCACCGUCAGCAGGUCGCCAGGCCGGUGGCCCGGACAGAGCAGCUUCCUGCGCUCGGGCUAGCGACAGGCACUACCCAGCAGGCGGUGACGCUGCGGGCUCAGUAGUCUCCCCGGCUUCCGCGAGAGGCGGGCUCCAAAGAGGCCCAGCGGUGGUAGUCCUACAAGUACAGCUUCUGGUCCAGGCAUUUCGGGAUGGAUCACUUCGGGAGAUACAAGGGAGAAAGGAGUCGCCAUGGGUUGAGGUCGCUGUGUUCGACCUAGAAAGAUAGGCACCCGGAGAGGAAUUGGAAACUCCGGCUUCCCCCACCCCCACUUGCCUCUUCCCAAGGACCUGGGCACCUUCCUCCAACCUCGAGACCUGCUGCCAGGUCAAGGUGUUUUAUCCAGUGACAUUCUCCUUCAGUGCUCACUGGGACAGAAAAAAGUUCACCAAGAAGUGAGCAGUCUCAAUGAAUAGCUUCAUGUCCAGUCCUCUUGACCCGGGGUUGGACUAUUUAAUUAAUACAUGCGGUCUGAAAGCCCGUAGUACCCCCGGGCCCGUUGCUUUUAGCUGGAGACAUCGGGUCAGGUGGCUGAGGGGGUUAGGGUAGGGUUGAUCUUUGGUGGGCACCCCACCCCAACCCCCCACCAGAAUCUUCAACUUUCCCCAAGAUAGGCCCUCAGUCCCUUAGGCCCACGGCCUUUAGGAAGGGUGGAGUUGAGAGCAGGAAAGCCUGAAGAAAGACACACACACCCUACCUACGCAGAGGCCUUCAGCCUCUAUUCCCACAACCCUGUCAUUGUGUUUACAGGGGCCCA